rnacentral:rRNA from 1 species
AUUGAACGCUGGCGGCAGGCCUAACACAUGCAAGUCGAACGGUAACAGAAAGCAGCUUGCUGCUUUGCCGACGAGUGGCGGACGGGUGAGUAAUGUCUGGGAAACUGCCUGAUGGAGGGGGAUAACUACUGGAAACGGUAGCUAAUACCGCAUAACGUCGCAAGACCAAAGAGGGGGACCUUCGGGCCUCUUGCCAUCGGAUGUGCCCAGAUGGGAUUAGCUAGUAGGUGGGGUAACGGCUCACCUAGGCGACGAUCCCUAGCUGGUCUGAGAGGAUGACCAGCCACACUGGAACUGAGACACGGUCCAGACUCCUACGGGAGGCAGCAGUGGGGAAUAUUGCACAAUGGGCGCAAGCCUGAUGCAGCCAUGCCGCGUGUAUGAAGAAGGCCUUCGGGUUGUAAAGUACUUUCAGCGGGGAGGAAGGGAGUAAAGUUAAUACCUUUGCUCAUUGACGUUACCCGCAGAAGAAGCACCGGCUAACUCCGUG